rnacentral:rRNA from 1 species
GUUGUGGAGUCAAUCUUGAAAUACCACCCUUGUAUGCUUGAUGUUCUAACGUUGGUCCCUUAUCGGGGUUACGGACAGUGCCUGGUGGGUAGUUUGACUGGGGCGGUCUCCUCCCAAAGAGUAACGGAGGAGCACGAAGGUGGGCUAAUCACGGUCGGACAUCGUGAGGUUAGUGCAAUGGCAUAAGCCCGCUUGACUGCGAGAAUGACAAUUCGAGCAGGUGCGAAAGCAGGUCAUAGUGAUCCGGUGGUUCUGAAUGGAAGGGCCAUCGCUCAACGGAUAAAAGGUACUCCGGGGAUAACAGGCUGAUACCGCCCAAGAGUUCAUAUCGACGGCGGUGUUUGGCACCUCGAUGUCGGCUCAUCACAUCCUGGGGCUGAAGUCGGUCCCAAGGGUAUGGCUGUUCGCCAUUUAAAGUGGUACGCGAGCUGGGUUUAGAACGUCGUGAGACAGUUCGGUCCCUAUCUGCCGUGGGCGUUGGAUGAUUGAGAGGGGCUGCUCCUAGUACGAGAGGACCGGAGUGGACGAACCGCUGGUGUUCGGGUUGUGUCGCCAGACGCAUUGCCCGGUAGCUAAGUUCGGAAUCGAUAACCGCUGAAAGCAUCUAAGCGGGAAGCGAGCCUCAAGAUGAGUCAUCCCUAGACCUUUAAGGUCUCUAAAGGGUUGUUGAAGACUACAACGUUGAUAGGUCGGGUGUGUAAGUGCUGUGAGGCAUUGAGCUAACCGAUACUAAUUGCCCGUGAGGCUUAACCAUACAACACCCAAGGGGUUU